AUGGAUACAAGCAUCAUUAAACAAGGCGUCCUCAGGGUGUUCCUCUCUUUGCUGUGCAUUUCAGGUUUCAUUGAUGGGAGUGAUGUGACACAGACCUCCAUACUGUGGAAAAACAAGGGUGACAAUGCAACAAUACACUGCAACCACAACAAGGGCAGCAGCUAUUUCCAGAUGUACUGGUACAGACAGCUGCCUGGAGAAACUAUGAAGCGAAUUGUGUUCACUAUGACCGGCAGUAAAGAUCAUGACUUUGGAGAAUUCAGCAAAGAGAAAUUCUCAGCCACCAAGGAUGUUGCUGAGAGUGGGACGUUCACAGUGAAGAAUCUGGAGCCAGGAGAUAAAGGCUUGUAUUUCUGUGCUGUCAGUGAGACACAGUGAUACAGACGCUGCAGACACCUGAACAAAAACCUCAGUGCAAUGUUCACGUUUACCAAAACUGAUAAUCUCCUGCACUCUAGGGGGACCUCGAGAACCACAUGUGACUCUG